rnacentral:tRNA from 1 species
GCCUGGGUGGCUCAGUCGGUUGAGCGUCCGACUUCAGCUCAGGUCAUGAUCUCACAGUCUGUGGGUUCGAGCCCCGCGUCAGGCU